rnacentral:miRNA from 1 species
AUCCAGCGCACUCACCUAUCCACUAAACAGCAACUUCAAUUUGUUUUAAAAAAACAAAUAAAAUCUGUCAACAUUGAAGUUGCUGUUUAGUGGAUAGAUGAGUGUGUUGGAU